CCUACGGGCGGCAGCAGUGAGGAAUAUUGGUCAAUGGACGCAAGUCUGAACCAGCCAUGCCGCGUGCAGGAAGACGGCUCUAUGAGUUGUAAACUGCUUUUGUACGAGGGUAAACGCAGAUACGUGUAUCUGUCUGCAAGUAUCGUACGAAUAAGGACCGGCUAACUCCGUGCCAGCAGCCGCGGUAAUACGGAGGAUUCAAGCGUUAUCCGGAUUUAUUGGGUUUAAAGGGUGCGUAGGCGGUCGGAUAAGUUGGCGGUGAAAUCCCGAGGCUCAACUUCGGAAGUGCCUCUGAUACUGUACGGCUAGAGAGUAGUUGCGGUAGGCGGAAUGUAUGGUGUAGCGGUGAAAUGCUUAGAGAUCAUACAGAACACCGAUUGCGAAGGCAGCUUACCAAGCUACGUCUGACGUUGAGGCACGAAAGCGUGGGGAGCGAACAGGAUUAGAUACCCGGGUAGUC
rnacentral:rRNA from 1 species